UACGGAGGGAGCUAGCGUUGUUCGGAAUUACUGGGCGUAAAGCGUGCGUAGGCGGUGACUCAAGUCAGAGGUGAACGCCUGGAGCUCAACUCCAGAACUGCCUUUGAAACUAGGUCGCUAGAAUCUGGGAGAGGUGAGUGGAAUUCCGAGUGUAGAGGUGAAAUUCGUAGAUAUUCGGAAGAACACCAGUGGCGAAGGCGGCUCACUGGACCGGUACUGACGCUGAUGCGCGAAAGCGUGGGGAGCAAACGGG
rnacentral:rRNA from 1 species